CCUACGGGUGGCAGCAGUGAGGAAUAUUGGUCAAUGGACGAGAGUCUGAACCAGCCAAGUGGCGUGAAGGAUGACUGCCCUAUGGGUUGUAAACUUCUUUUAUAUGGGAAUAAAAUGUUCCACGUGUGGGAUUUUGUAUGUACUAUAUGAAUAAGGAUCGGCUAACUCCGUGCCAGCAGCCGCGGUAAUACGGAGGAUCCGAGCGUUAUCCGGAUUUAUUGGGUUUAAAGGGAGCGUAGGUGGGUUGUUAAGUCAGUUGUGAAAGUUUGCGGCUCAACCGUAAAAUUGCAGUUGAUACUGGCAGUCUUGAGUACAGUAGAGGUAGGCGGAAUUCGUGGUGUAGCGGUGAAAUGCUUAGAUAUCACGAAGAACUCCGAUUGCGAAGGCAGUUCACUAGACUGCAACUGACACUGAGGCUCGAAAGUGUGGGUAUCAAACAGGAUUAGAUACCCGGGUAGUC
rnacentral:rRNA from 1 species